UUCGGAAUUACUGGGCGUAAAGGGCUCGUAGGCGGCCAACUAAGUCAGACGUGAAAUCCCUCGGCUUAACCGGGGAACUGCGUCUGAUACUGGAUGGCUUGAGUUUGGGAGAGGGAUGCGGAAUUCCAGGUGUAGCGGUGAAAUGCGUAGAUAUCUGGAGGGACACCGGUGGCGAAGGCGGCAUCCUGGACCAACACUGACGCUGAGGAGCGAAAGCCAGGGGAGCAAACGGG
rnacentral:rRNA from 1 species